UACAGAGGGGGCAAGCGUUGUUCGGAAUUACUGGGCGUAAAGGGCGCGUAGGCGGCCUGUUAAGUCGAACGUGAAAUCCCUCGGCUUAACCGGGGAACUGCGUCUGAUACUGGAUGGCUUGAGAUUGGGAGAGGGAUGCGGAAUUCCAGGUGUAGCGGUGAAAUGCGUAGAUAUCUGGAGGAACACCGGUGGCGAAGGCGGCAUCCUGGACCAACACUGACACUGAGGAGCGAAAGCCAGGGGAGCAAACGGG
rnacentral:rRNA from 1 species